CACAAAUUCUGCUUAUGUCCAAGCUUGGAAGUCCUUUUCCCCUUUGCAAGUGACCUCGCACUGGAAACCACAGCUCCUGAGGGGGUAUUUGAGCUCUGUUCAACUUAACGGCUCCUCGGCACGCUCCUUACAAAGAGCAGCGCAGCUCAGGGCAGCACACAGCCGUGAUUGCACAGCACAGCCUGUGAGGGAGCACCUCCUAAACUCCUCCUCGGGGCAGAAAGAAAAGGAAUUCGGUGGGCCAGAUUCCCUCUGUGGCCAGAUCCGUUCACUACAGCUGCCUGGGGAGGAAUUUAGGUGAAGGGUUAUCGUCAAGAGGAAAAUCGAACUUAGAAGGGAGGAGGUCACCAUUUUUGCAGGUACCAAUCCAAAUUUUGCUCAGAUUUCACCUAGAGAUUUUACUUAAAUAUUUCUGGAAAAGCACUUGUUUUAACAAAUACUGAUUGCUACUCAUGCAUUUAAUGCAAGUGGCGUAAGUUUUAGCACCGAUGUAGAGCCAUUUCUGUUUUAUGGGUCUUCACAAAUUAAACUUGAUGACAAUCUAAUUCAUAUUACACCAAUUUCAGAGGUGCAGAAGGGAACAGAAGCUAUAUCCUGCCCCAUGCUACAACGUUCGGGUAUUCUAAUCGAGCAUCUGUGGCUGUCUCCCACACUAUCAAGCUCCUUAGAUACUGGACAUAUUUCCAUCAACCAAGAGACUGAGCAUAUCGUGCUCAAAAAGAGGUAACAUCCCUACAGUCUGAGGCUGCACUGUGUUUGUCCAAGUCUCACAGCGUUUCCAGACCUUGUACAAGCAAGGUGCAUGACAACACUGUCCUAAAUAGAAGGCUAUACUCCUGACACACUAUUAUUUGGUAUCUUAAUUCAGUGUUUAACCUCUAAUUUUUGACAGAGAUUUUCAUUCAACCUACUUCUGCAAUAGAAUGGCAAGCCACUAAUUGUAAUCUAUAGUUUUAAUUAUUAUGAGCAUUUAACUUAAGCUCGGUUACUCAAGAAAUAAGUAUUCUGCCUACUUCAAUAAGAUGGUAUGAAAUUUAUUCAAAUGUUUACUAAAUUAUGUGAAGUUGUCGUGGAAGAAUAUGUUCUGAGAGCUUGUCAGUACAGUCCCUCAGAAGAAGUGACACCAAAAUGUGUGUCAGAACAGACUCUUGAAGUCUGAUCCAAAAAGAAUUCACAGUUUACUCAGUACUCACCUUUAUUCUUUUGUUCCAGUACUCAACGGCAUGAAAAAGGGGAUUAAAAAGCAAAGAACCAAAACCAGCAUCUCUUUUCCAGAAGGGUGAAAAUAUGCCAAGCCCAGUUCUAACUACAGAAAUACUUUCCAGUAUUUUCUUUCUUUCCAGUUACUGCAGUUCUACAAAGAUGUUAUUUGGUGACAGAUGAAAAGGAAGGCAAUUUGGUGAACAAGAUACCUAUUCCAAAGAUCUCCUGAUUAAAAGAAAGGCUAAUAUCUUACUCCUCACACUCCUGACAUGACCGUAGGCUUGAAGAGUCUUGCAAUCUGUAUAUAAUUUGAAUGAAGGAAGUCCAGUUGAAAGACUACAUCUCUAAUUGUUAAUGAACGUUUCCAGCAACAGUUUCACAGCAACAAUAACAAAAAAAAAUUCUCUGCUUGGAAGAGGUUUUCUUCCAAAUGUGUUCUCUUAGCUUAAGUUGCUAUAACAGAGAUAGCACUAGGCAGAUAGCAACUGUAUGUGUUCUAUAAUAAGUAUACUUUUCAUAAGGCAUUUCAAGGCAAACAGAUUACUAACACAUUUUAAAAGUUAAACUAUGUAUAUCAAG
ensembl:lncRNA